UGCAUCUGCUGCUGAUCAAAAGUACUUUUCUAUAUUGACCAAACAGUUUAAAUUUUUUGAAAAGUAUUUUGGACCUCCCAAAAGCUUGGCCAAAUAGGCUCUUAUACUUAUGGAUAUGAUAAUAUUUUAACAUUUUCAUUUACAUUAUAACAUCCCGAAAACUUUGCUAAGUUAAGGGAUAUUGAUUGGUUGUAUAUGAUGGCAUUGCAGGAGCGGUAGUGAAGCUAGUAUGCAACGACACAAAGAAGACAUUAGUUGAACAGGCCAAGACAAAGAAGAAUGGUUUCUACUGGAUCAUGCCCAAACUCUUGCCCUCAAGAGCGUACCACAAAAGCAAGGUGUUCUUGGUCUCAUCAAAAAGUACUUAUUGCUGAUCAAAGCAUGAAGAGAUAGCCAAAAGAGUUGGCGAACAAUGUUUCAAACAAAAUAACAUGAAGAGAUAGCCAGAAGACAAAACGAACCAUUAAUAGAACAAAAAAUUUAUUGAAGAGCCACAACUGCAGAGACAAAACACAAACAUAGGACACAGAAAACAAAUACAGCUUUGACAAAAUAAGCAAACACAAACAACAAUGAUCAGGUCUCUAAACAGAACAGUACUGUAGCAAAUUACUUCUUUAUUUGCAGCACCAAAUACUCCAUCAGGUGCAUUGGACAUCCAGAAAUUCCGAUUCUAGACAUACAGUACAUGGGUUGCGAGAAGACUCCCAAUCGAGGUUCUGAAACAUUCAUAUUAGUAUAACCACAUGGAGGAACCCUAAAUUUUUAGGCAUUUAGGGUUAAAUCAGAAAAGGAAAAAAGAAAAGAGGGAGGGGGAGAAAGAGAGGCCUUAUCAAUUUUGCAUGGGUGAAAGCUCAGAUUUUUUAAAAAGGGGGAAAGGUAUGUGAAGAGAAUGAGAGAGAAAGAGAAGAAUGAGAGUGAAAGAAAGAAGAAAAAUAAGGGGUAUACCUAAUGUAUU
rnacentral:lncRNA from 1 species